rnacentral:rRNA from 1 species
AGUGAACGCUGGCGGUAGGCCUAACACAUGCAAGUCGAACGGCAGCACAGUAAGAGCUUGCUCUUACGGGUGGCGAGUGGCGGACGGGUGAGGAAUACAUCGGAAUCUACUUUUUCGUGGGGGAUAACGUAGGGAAACUUACGCUAAUACCGCAUACGACCUACGGGUGAAAGCAGGGGACCUUCGGACCUUGCGCGAUUGAAUGAGCCGAUGUCGGAUUAGCUAGUUGGAGGGGUAAAGGCCCACCAAGGCGACGAUCCGUAGCUGGUCUGAGAGGAUGAUCAGCCACACUGGAACUGAGACACGGUCCAGACUCCUACGGGAGGCAGCAGUGGGGAAUAUUGGACAAUGGGCGCAAGCCUGGUCCAGCCAUACCGCGUGGGUGAAGAAGGCCUUCGGGUUGUAAAGCCCUUUUGUUGGGAAAGAAAAGCAGCAGGUUAAUACCCCGCUGUUCUGACGGUACCCAAAGAAUAAGCACCGGCUAACUUCGUG